CAGUCGAGGGGCAGCAUGUCCAGCAAUGGAUGAUGGCGACCGGCGGAAGGGUGCGUAACGCGUGAGCAACAUGCCCUAUACAGGGAGAUACACCAGGGAAACUUGGUCUAAUAUCCCAUAGCAUUCAUUGAAGGCAUCUUUAAUGAAUUAAAGCUUCGGUGGUAUAUGAUUGGCUCGCGUGACAUUAGCCAGAUGGUGAGGUAACGGCUCACCAUAGCAAUGAUGUCUAGGGGUUUUGAGAGGAAGGCCCCCCACACUGGGACUGAGACACGGCCCAGACUCCUACGGGAGGCAGCAGUGAGGAAUAUUGGACAAUGGAUGGAAAUCUGAUCCAGCCAUGCCGCGUGCAGGAAGACGGCCUUAUGGGUUGUAAACUGCUUUUAUACGGGAGCAAUAAGGGUUACGAGUAAUCCGAUGAGAGUACUGUAUGAAUAAGGAUCGGCUAACUCCGUGCCAGCAGCCGCGGUAAUACGGAGGAUCCGAGCGUUAUCCGGAAUUAUUGGGUUUAAAGGGUGCGUAGGCGGCCAUUUAAGUCAGCGGUGAAAUUUUGCAGCUUAACUGUAACAGUGCCGUUGAUACUGUUUGGCUAGGAUUUGGUUGUAGUGUGCGGAAUGUGUGGUGUAGCGGUGAAAUGCUUAGAUAUCACACAGAACACCGAUUGCGAAGGCAGCACACUAAGUCAUUAUUGACGCUGAGGCACGAAAGUGUGGGGAUCAAACAGGAUUAGAUACCCUGGUAGUCCACACUGUAAACGAUGAUAACUCGCUGUCGGCGAUACACAGUCGGUGGCCAAGCGAAAGCAUUAAGUUAUCCACCUGGGGAGUACGACCGCAAGGUUGAAAACUCAAAGGAAUUGACGGGGGCCCCGCACAAGCGGAGGAACAUGUGGU
rnacentral:rRNA from 1 species